GGCUGGUGAUGUCUGUUUUUACAUGCCCACCACGUACACUGCUGAGAAAGCCACUUGGCGCAGCUAAUACCAGAAG